GCUCCUUUAAAUGUCUGUGGAGGGAUGAGAAAUAACACGAGCUGUUAAAACUACUGAACACUUUCUCUCAGCUGGUUUUCUGUCUUUACUUCCUCAAACCUUUAUUUUGUUCUUUUUACUUCCUAUAUCCUUGAUUUUUUUUUUAUAUCGUUUUAAUUCCUGAAACCUUGAAAUUUCUUUUCUGUCUUUAUUUCCUGAAAGUUUGAUUUUUUUUCUGGUUUUAUUUCUUGAAACCUUGAUUUUUCUGUUUUUACUUCUUAAUACCUGGAAUUUUUCAGCUUUUACUUCUUGAAACCUUUAUUUUUUCUGUCUUUAUUUCCUAAAAAGUUUGAUUUUUUUUUGUCUUUACCUCCUAAAACCUUGAUUUUGUUCUCUUUUUACUUCCUAUAUCCUUGAUUUUUUUUUUAUAUCAUCGUUUUAAUUCCUGAAACCUUGAAAUUUUUUUCUGUCUUUAUUUCCUGAAAGUUUGAUUUUUUUUCUGUUUUUAUUUCUUAAUACCUGGAAUUUUUCAGCUUUUACUUCUUGAAACCUUGAUUUUUU